rnacentral:misc_RNA from 1 species
UGGUGCACUGAAUUACCCUUUUUAAUCAAGUUCCCAAAGUGGGCCGUCUGCUGUCUUAACCAUCUAUCUAUUGAAACUGGAGUAGCUUCGAUAUUUCUCAUUGAACUUUUCUUCGACCUUACUAGAAUGAAACGUGAACAAUAGGCCGAAAGAAGAAGAUGUCUACAGUGGCAGUCAAACAAAAUUCUAUGCCAGUAUUCAAUUUGAAAGAAGAAGAAAUUUAAAAGAAGGUUGCAAAGCAUUUCCAGCCUCAUGCUUGUAUUCUGGAGUGACUGAAAGAAUCUGAAGCCAGUAAACCAUCAAUCAUCAGCAGAAAAUCUAUCUUCAGUGUCUAUUUACAGUUAAGAUAUUCAACAAGGUGUCGAUCGAGCUCAAAAUGUUNNNNNUCUUACUGACAGGAGGAUGCGAAGAUUUUGCUUCAAAAUCCCACUCUGGAAAGCGUGUAACCUCAGC